rnacentral:misc_RNA from 1 species
GAAAAAUCUCAGUUGACUUACGUACAACGAGAGAUAAGAGUGUUGUCACUUGAUUGUUGGUAUGCCGAGAAAUAUUUUCUUUAUGUCGGCCUCUGGAUCGAUUCAAGGCAAAUACCAACGCAGACGGAAUUACAACUCGUACAGGAAAGAAACGUGAACUGAUUACCACCGAGUAUCUUGUCUAACUGUCUACACAAUCUACCAACAACACGCGCGCUCGUAUACCAACAGAGGAAUGCGUACAUGUGUUAAUAUUGGAAUUGUUAAUUUUUAAAAUCUUUAAUUUUCUGCUAUUCUCUAAAUAUGUUCGGUGAGACCGACAUAAAAUCGGAUAAAUCCACUGAAGUUGAGGCUUAUUUCUCAAAAAAGAAAAGGAAGUUGGCGGAGUGGUGAAGUCUGUAAAACGACAUAUGCGCACAAGCGUGAAUGUCUUUACUCAACUUUAGAAAGCCGUGAAUAAGUAUUAUUUUGUCAAAUGGACUAUUCAGUUUCUGUGUAAAGCAUAUAACUACUUGUUACGGAUGCGGCUCAUAGCCAUGUGAUGUAUUAUCCCACCUACCCCUAUUAUCAUGAAAAAAAAAAGGAACUGAAGUCUUUAGUAUUCAAAACGUCCGUAUAUGAUCUGUACAUGUCCGUGGAAACUUUAUUCAAUACCGUACAACAUAUAAGUUGGUGCAUUUGCAAAGCGUAUCGUUUCCGAGGUUCUGUAUCACUUAAGAAGACUUGUACAGUACAACUAACUGUUCUUCGUAUCUCUCAAAUAUCCGGCUGUACAUGCACUGAACUUACGUACCACACCAGGAAGAAGCUUCCCCACUACCCGUAACUGGAAAGCAUCAGCUCCAUUUCAAAACAUAGAAGAUAGCCAGCAAGAAAACAUCGCAUGAUUCAUGAGUUUCCACGUCUCACAAAUUGUAACCUAGCUUUCUGGGUUGAAAAGGGAUUUUUUACUAACUUUAACGAAUCCUCUUAAUUUUAGCAUCUUGGAAUUUGUUACCUAUUUUGCAUUCAGUUCCACUCAAAACACACACACACACACACACACACACACACACAAACUCUUUCUAAGCUACCACUUUUCACACAACUGCAUGCUUCAUACUGUCAAGCACAAAAUUGUUUACUUCACUUUAAUUCAACAAUUAUUAUCGUUAAGAAAUUCAAAUCCAGAAUUUUCAACAUUGAAGAAACAUAUUUCAGUUCGCAAAGAGAUAAAUCGAGAGAGCACUUUUCCUUUCGAGAGCCAUCGCACUUCUGUAUAAAGCUAUAAACACUUAAAAUCAGAAUCUAUAGUCUCACAUAGAGAUGCAAAAUGUCUGCACUAUAGGGAAUGCGAUUUUAUGUAAUUCACCACAACGUUGUCCUUCGUCUUCAGGAGACCAGCAGGUAGAGAUUUUGACACCAAAACUUCGGUUAAUCAAGCAAUGUACAAUUUUAACUUGUGAAGUUUUUUUAUAAUACAUGAGCCACGAAAGCCUUUUUUCGAUCCUGCAUGGAUGGGGCGCCAUCAGUGCGAACGCUAAUAUAAGUUUUCCACUGCAUCCCUCUC